AUUGAACGCUGGCGGCAUGCUUUACACAUGCAAGUCGAACGGUAACAGCACUUCGGUGGCUGACGAGUGGCGAACGGGUGAGUAAUACAUCGGAACGUGCCUAGUAGUGGGGGAUAACUACUCGAAAGAGUAGCUAAUACCGCAUGAGAUCUAAGGAUGAAAGCAGGGGACCUUCGGGCCUUGCGCUACUAGAGCGGCUGAUGGCAGAUUAGGUAGUUGGUGGGAUAAAAGCUUACCAAGCCGACGAUCUGUAGCUGGUCUGAGAGGACGACCAGCCACACUGGGACUGUGACACGGCCCAGACUCCUACGGGAGGCAGAAGUGGGGAAUUUUGGACAAUGGGCGCAAGCCUGAUCCAGCAAUGCCGCGUGCAGGAUGAAGGCCUUCGGGUUGUAAACUGCUUUUGUACGGAACGAAAAGCCCUCUUCUAAUACAGGAGGGUCAUGACGGUACCGUAAGAAUAAGCACCGGCUAACUACGUG
rnacentral:rRNA from 1 species